UUUACCAAAGCAAGAUUUGGUAUUUCUCCUGUCCUAUUCACUACUUUUCGGAACACGUCAUGUCCUAUUCACUUGUCCACACUACUACUACUAUUCUAGCACUGCGCCUUCUCGAUCUCUUCCGUCUUCACCUCAAACCGGCUCGGUUGCAUGCGCAGACGGGUAAACAGCAGCGGUGAAACCGUAAAACACCCCAUACCCGCAACGGAGCAGGAGAAUGGACUUCUACUCGAACUUAUACCAUAUAAUCCUACUAUGACUCCUCUUUAUAACUUAUCAGUAAUCUCGCCC
rnacentral:lncRNA from 1 species